rnacentral:rRNA from 1 species
GGGUUGUGAGGUUAAGCGACUAAGCGUACACGGUGGAUGCCCUGGCAGUCAGAGGCGAUGAAGGACGUGCUAAUCUGCGAUAAGCGUCGGUAAGGUGAUAUGAACCGUUAUAACCGGCGAUUUCCGAAUGGGGAAACCCAGUGUGUUUCGACACACUAUCAUUAACUGAAUCCAUAGGUUAAUGAGGCGAACCGGGGGAACUGAAACAUCUAAGUACCCCGAGGAAAAGAAAUCAACCGAGAUUCCCCCAGUAGCGGCGAGCGAACGGGGAGCAGCCCAGAGCCUGAAUCAGUGUGUGUGUUAGUGGAAGCGUCUGGAAAGGCGCGCGAUACAGGGUGACAGCCCCGUACACAAAAAUGCACAUGCUGUGAGCUCGAUGAGUAGGGCGGGACACGUGGUAUCCUGUCUGAAUAUGGGGGGACCAUCCUCCAAGGCUAAAUACUCCUGACUGACCGAUAGUGAACCAGUACCGUGAGGGAAAGGCGAAAAGAACCCCGGCGAGGGGAGUGAAAAAGAACCUGAAACCGUGUACGUACAAGCAGUGGGAGCACGCUUAGGCGUGUGACUGCGUACCUUUUGUAUAAUGGGUCAGCGACUUAUAUUCUGUAGCAAGGUUAACCGAAUAGGGGAGCCGAAGGGAAACCGAGUCUUAACUGGGCGUUAAGUUGCAGGGUAUAGACCCGAAACCCGGUGAUCUAGCCAUGGGCAGGUUGAAGGUUGGGUAACACUAACUGGAGGACCGAACCGACUAAUGUUGAAAAAUUAGCGGAUGACUUGUGGCUGGGGGUGAAAGGCCAAUCAAACCGGGAGAUAGCUGGUUCUCCCCGAAAGCUAUUUAGGUAGCGCCUCGUGAAUUCAUCUCCGGGGGUAGAGCACUGUUUCGGCAAGGGGGUCAUCCCGACUUACCAACCCGAUGCAAACUGCGAAUACCGGAGAAUGUUAUCACGGGAGACACACGGCGGGUGCUAACGUCCGUCGUGAAGAGGGAAACAACCCAGACCGCCAGCUAAGGUCCCAAAGUCAUGGUUAAGUGGGAAACGAUGUGGGAAGGCCCAGACAGCCAGGAUGUUGGCUUAGAAGCAGCCAUCAUUUAAAGAAAGCGUAAUAGCUCACUGGUCGAGUCGGCCUGCGCGGAAGAUGUAACGGGGCUAAACCAUGCACCGAAGCUGCGGCAGCGACGCUUAUGCGUUGUUGGGUAGGGGAGCGUUCUGUAAGCCUGCGAAGGUGUGCUGUGAGGCAUGCUGGAGGUAUCAGAAGUGCGAAUGCUGACAUAAGUAACGAUAAAGCGGGUGAAAAGCCCGCUCGCCGGAAGACCAAGGGUUCCUGUCCAACGUUAAUCGGGGCAGGGUGAGUCGACCCCUAAGGCGAGGCCGAAAGGCGUAGUCGAUGGGAAACAGGUUAAUAUUCCUGUACUUGGUGUUACUGCGAAGGGGGGACGGAGAAGGCUAUGUUGGCCGGGCGACGGUUGUCCCGGUUUAAGCGUGUAGGCUGGUUUUCCAGGCAAAUCCGGAAAAUCAAGGCUGAGGCGUGAUGACGAGGCACUACGGUGCUGAAGCAACAAAUGCCCUGCUUCCAGGAAAAGCCUCUAAGCAUCAGGUAACAUCAAAUCGUACCCCAAACCGACACAGGUGGUCAGGUAGAGAAUACCAAGGCGCUUGAGAGAACUCGGGUGAAGGAACUAGGCAAAAUGGUGCCGUAACUUCGGGAGAAGGCACGCUGAUAUGUAGGUGAAGUCCCUCGCGGAUGGAGCUGAAAUCAGUCGAAGAUACCAGCUGGCUGCAACUGUUUAUUAAAAACACAGCACUGUGCAAACACGAAAGUGGACGUAUACGGUGUGACGCCUGCCCGGUGCCGGAAGGUUAAUUGAUGGGGUCAGCGCAAGCGAAGCUCUUGAUCGAAGCCCCGGUAAACGGCGGCCGUAACUAUAACGGUCCUAAGGUAGCGAAAUUCCUUGUCGGGUAAGUUCCGACCUGCACGAAUGGCGUAAUGAUGGCCAGGCUGUCUCCACCCGAGACUCAGUGAAAUUGAACUCGCUGUGAAGAUGCAGUGUACCCGCGGCAAGACGGAAAGACCCCGUGAACCUUUACUAUAGCUUGACACUGAACAUUGAGCCUUGAUGUGUAGGAUAGGUGGGAGGCUUUGAAGUGUGGACGCCAGUCUGCAUGGAGCCGACCUUGAAAUACCACCCUUUAAUGUUUGAUGUUCUAACGUGGACCCGUGAUCCGGGUUGCGGACAGUGUCUGGUGGGUAGUUUGACUGGGGCGGUCUCCUCCUAAAGAGUAACGGAGGAGCACGAAGGUUGGCUAAUCCUGGUCGGACAUCAGGAGGUUAGUGCAAUGGCAUAAGCCAGCUUGACUGCGAGCGUGACGGCGCGAGCAGGUGCGAAAGCAGGUCAUAGUGAUCCGGUGGUUCUGAAUGGAAGGGCCAUCGCUCAACGGAUAAAAGGUACUCCGGGGAUAACAGGCUGAUACCGCCCAAGAGUUCAUAUCGACGGCGGUGUUUGGCACCUCGAUGUCGGCUCAUCACAUCCUGGGGCUGAAGUAGGUCCCAAGGGUAUGGCUGUUCGCCAUUUAAAGUGGUACGCGAGCUGGGUUUAGAACGUCGUGAGACAGUUCGGUCCCUAUCUGCCGUGGGCGCUGGAGAACUGAGGGGGGCUGCUCCUAGUACGAGAGGACCGGAGUGGACGCAUCACUGGUGUUCGGGUUGUCAUGCCAAUGGCACUGCCCGGUAGCUAAAUGCGGAAGAGAUAAGUGCUGAAAGCAUCUAAGCACGAAACUUGCCCCGAGAUGAGUUCUCCCUGACUCCUUGAGAGUCCUGAAGGAACGUUGAAGACGACGACGUUGAUAGGCCGGGUGUGUAAGCGCAGCGAUGCGUUGAGCUAACCGGUACUAAUGAACCGUGAGGCUUAACCUUACAACGCCGAAG